rnacentral:rRNA from 1 species
AUGCAAGUUGAGCGAGAACCAGCGCUUCGGCUCUGGGGACAAGCGGCGAACGGGUGAGUAACACGUGGGUAAUCCACCCUCGGCACCGGAAUAGCCCGGGGAAACCCGGAUUAAUGCCGGAUGGCCCGUCGACCCUUCGGGGCUGACGGAAAAGGUAGCUUCGGCCUCCGGCCGGGGACGAGCCCGCGACGGAUUAGCUUGUUGGUGGGGUAACGGCCUACCAAGGCUCCGAUCCGUAGCUGGUCUGAGAGGACGAUCAGCCACACUGGGACUGAAACACGGCCCANACUCCUACGGGAGGCAGCAGUGGGGAAUCUUGCGCAAUGGGCGAAAGCCUGACGCAGCGACGCCGCUGUGAGGGAAGAAGGCCUUCGGGUUGUAAACCUCUUUCAGGAGGGACGAAGCCACUCGGGUUAAUAGCCCAGAGGGUGACGGUACCUCCAGAAGAAGCCCCGGCUAACUACGUGCCAGCAGCCGCGGUAAUACGUAGGGGGCAAGCGUUGUCCGGAUUUAUUGGGCGUAAAGAGCGUGUAGGCGGCCAGGUAGGUCUGCUUGUGAAAACU